GACGAACGCUGGCGGCGUGCUUAACACAUGCAAGUCGAACGGAAAGGCCCUGCUUUUGUGGGGUGCUCGAGUGGCGAACGGGUGAGUAACCCGGUAAUAACCUGCCCUUUACUUUGGGAUAACUUCAGGAAACUGGGGCUAAUACCGGAUAUGAGCUCCUGCUGCAUGGUGUGGGUUGUGAAGUUUCGGCGGUUGGGGCUGGACUCGCGGCGUAUCAGCGUGUUGGUGGGGUAGUGGCUUACCAAGGCUUUGACGGGUAGCCGGCCUGAGAGGGUGACAGGCCACAUUGGGACUGAGAUACCGCCCAGACGCCUACGGGAGGAAGCAGUGGGGAAUAUUGCACACUGGGCGGAAGCAUGAUGCAGCAACGCCGCGUGCGGGAUGACGGCCUUCAGGUUGUAAACCGCUUUCGCCUGUAACGAAGCGUGAGUGACGGUAAUGAGUAAAGAAGCACCGGCUAACUACGUG
rnacentral:rRNA from 1 species